AAACAAACAGCCUUGUAUCAUCCACCCUGUUGACCUAAACCUGGUACCAGAACUGGUCCUGUUGACCUAAACCUGGUACCAGAACUGGUCCUGUUGACCUAAACCUGGUACCAGAACUGGUCCUGUUGACCUAAACCUGGUACCAGAACUGGUCCUGUUGACCUAAACCUUGUUCCAGAACUGGUCCUGUUGACCUAAACCUUGUUCCAGAACUGGUCCUGUUGACCUAAACCUGGUACCAGAACUGGUCCUGUUGACCUAAACCUUGUUCCAGAUCUGGUCCUGUUGACCUAAACCUGGUACCAGAACUGGUCCUGUUGACCUAAACCCUGUUCCAGAACUGGUCCUGUUGACCUAAACCUGGUACCAGAACUGGUCCUGUUGACCUAAACCUGGUACCAGAACUGGUCCUGUUGACAUAAACCUGGUACCAGACCAACAGGAACAGAACUGGUCCUGUUGUCAUAAACCUGGUACCAGAACUGGUCCUGUUGUCAUAAACCUGGUACCAGAACUGGCCCUGUUGUUAUAAACCUGGUACCAGGUCUGGUCCUGUUGACCUAAACCUGGUACCAGGUCUGGCCCUGUUGACCUAAACCUGGUACCAGGUCUGGCCCUGUUGACCUAAACCUGGUACCAGGUCUGGCCCUGUUGACCUAAACCUGGUACCAGGUCUGGC
ensembl:lncRNA